AGCCUCCCACCUCAGCCUCACCGGCCGACUCGGGCGCCAUUUUGGGAAGCUCUUUGUGUGGCGGGGCUGCGAGAGACACUCGGUGCUUGCCCAGGCAGCGCAGGGCGCAGAGCCUCGGCCGCUGUGAGUGGCCGUUCCCUGGGAGCGCGCGGUGCAACCGGGCCUGAGCGGGGACCAAGAGGUCGGGGCAGAGGAAGAGGUGGCAGAGAUUUUGGAAACAAGGGACAGCUUUCAUAUGUCAGAGGGAAAAUGUGAGGCAAAACAAUUAAUGGCAUUGGGGCCAUGAGGUAAUACCUGGCAAACUAAUAAUUUUUUAUUGCAUUGUUGACUUUCUCAAGAAGGGGCAUUUUAUGGUAGGUGGACCAAUCUGUAACAUAAGGUAAACACUGAAUUUUACAAAUAAAAUGGAAUGCUUUCAAAGACAAUGAUGAAUGGUUAGGAUAGCCUUGACAUAUAUUGUUGAAGUUAAGGGUGACUUCAUGUAAGUUUAUCUGUAUUUUCAUAAAUGAAGCUUUCAGUUGUGAACUUCUCAAAGACAUAUUUACUUUUGAAGUUAAUGUCUUUUGGGUGGGAGUGUUACUGAAGAGGGAAAAGAGUUUUGGUAGUCAGAUUCUAUCAGGAAAAUAGGACAGCUUUUUAUUAUUAAACAAUGCCUUUGUCGUACUCUACUCCGGGAAUUAUUUUUGAUCUUCUGUGAUAGAUAACAUAUCCAUAACAGUACAGCACUUAAAUAUUUGUGGCACUUUGAAUGUGGAUGUAUUGGCUGUCAUACCUACAGAUGUGUUAACAGUUAUCGCAGGCUGGUAGCACAAGGUGUGUAUAUAAGUCAUAUAUACUUACUUAACAUGCCUAUCUCAUUACUGUAUUUAGAGAUACAAAUUUAAUUAAAGGACAUGGAAACUGAUUAUUCUUUCUCUUUCAUUGCAGUCACAGCUUGAAAAGUAAAAUAGUCCAAUUGGCCCUCUUAUGUGUCCAUGUGCAAAUUUCCUAAAAGCAGUUCUUCAUUAAGGAGACCCAAACUGUGUAAACUGGUGUGUGUGUGGUAGAAGGUGAAAAUAAAAGCACAAACGCAUCUCAGAUGCUGCAACUCUGUCUGAUGUGCGAGUGAGUUGGAGCGGGGACCUGCUGAUCUCUGUGGUGGGGAGAUUGUUGUAAAAGACACUAUUCUCGCUGGAGGAAUUUCCCCUGUAGACAGUUUUGCAGAAUAGUGUCUCACAAAACCAAAACCAUGGGGUCUUGCAGCUAGACAGAUAGGGGCACCUGCUCUCGCUCUCACCAAAAAAAAAAAAAAAAAAAAAAAGACAGUAUUAUUGUCAAAAUAUUAUUACAUUCAUUUCCCAGAUUUGAAAAUUCAGGCACAGGUUAAAUGACUUGCCCAAAGGCACAGAGGUGAUCUGUGGAAAAAGAGUUGAGAUUAAAACUCAAAGAUCUUGUCUCCAACCCUCUUGCACUAACCACUCACUACAACAUACUUCUUCUAAACAGCACUUGUAAAGUGGGGAUGCCAGGAAGAGCGCCCUCAGUUACCAGUGGUGAAGUUGAGAGGGAAGGAAAAGAGAAUAUCCCUAACAUCUACAAAAGGAAAAACUCACCCAAGCAUAAAGCGAUUGUAGUUUUGGAAAAAAACAACAGAGCCAAGAGUCUUACCAUAAAGAGGGAUUGUGGAACAACAAUAGCAUCUUGCUGCAGUGUUUUGCCCUGGAGGGCAGAGCAGGAAGGGGCCAUCAUUUUCUCUUCAUGACCCUCUUAUUAACUGUCCAGGGCCCGAGCAGCCAACUCAGGAGUCUGUUGCAGGGACCAUGAUUACCCAGUCAAAGCCCUCUUUCAGGAACUGUCAUCCCUUUGGUUGAGUGAUGCAACAAGGCAGCACAGCAGGUGGGAUCUGACCUUCAAGCCUCACCCCACAAUCCCACCCUUGAUGGGAAGGCCAGCAUGCCUUACGGAAUAUGGAGGCUCCUUAUUUUUUUGUCUUUCCUUGGGACCCUACUGUGACGGGUUCUCCCUUCCCCCCUGGGGUGCCACCUGGAAUUGUUGUGCACUGACUCACCAGCCUGGGCUCCCUUUACACUGUACUGCUGUGACAGGCCCUCAAGCAGGCCCCUCCAGCACACAUACAAGUAGGGACACACCCAGCUGCAGCUACACACAGAUGCUGAGAUUAGUUCUGCAUGGGAAGGCUCAGCUAAGGCACACCCCCUUCUGGAGUGUAAACCCAAAAUUAUACCGUCUUGCGCUGCACAGGGAACUAUACAGCAUAAGCUCAUGAAAUUUGCCCCCUCUUUCAAUGUGGAGGAAGAUAUACAACAGCUUUCUGCCCCCCGUUAUGAUUUCCACACACUGGUUUUAGACAAAACAGAAACAAGAUUAUUAACUACAAAAGAGAGAUUUUAAGUGAUUAGAAGGGAUAGCAAACAGAUCAAAGCAGAUUACCUAGCAAGUAAACAAAAUGCAAUCUAAGCUUAAUAUACUAAAGAUAUUGGAUAUGAGUAGCAAAUUCUCACCCUAAUUGUUGUUUCUGGCAGUUUGCAAAGAUUCUUGAGGGCAAGCUGCACUUUCAGCUUAAAACUCCAGGUAUUCCUUUUACAGGCUAGAAAUCCCUCUAGCCUGGGUUCAGCCCUUCUCCCCUAGUCCAGUCUUUGUGUCUCAGGUGUUUCCGGCAGUCUUCUUGGGCAGGAGUCAGUGAAGAACCAUGAUGAUGUCACUCCCCUCCAUUAAAUAGCUUUUGCAUAUGGCAGGAACCAUUUGUCUCCCCUCUUGGUUCCCACGCCCAGUCAGGGGAAAAACACUGGUAUUCCAAGAUGGUGUCCAGUACCAGGUGACUUGGUUACAUGCCCCUGUAUGGGGACAGCAGCCAUGACUCAGAGGCUGUUUGUAGUGUCCUCAGGAAGGCUCCCCAGUGGGAGAUUAGCAUCUUCUAAGACCUGUUGUUUUCCCUAAUGGCCCUUUCCAGCCAGCCAUCUAGACUGAUUGCAUUCUGUCUAGUGGGCAUUUCCCAGGUGUAAACACAUUUGCAAUAGAUGCAUAGACAAUAUUCCUAAUUUCAGAUACCAAAAUGGUACAUGCAUACAAAUAGGAUAAUCAUAUUCAGUGAAUCAUAACCUUUUCAAUGAUAUCUUACAUGACUUAUCGCAUAAAAUACAUCAUAGUUAGGCCAUAAUCAUAUCCUAAUAAUAUCACUAUGAAGAAUAUGGGGCAUAAGCCAUUAAUUCUCAUUUACCUCCACAGACAAAUUUACUCUAAACAAUUCUUCCUUAUGGAACCAAGCUAUGUACAUUUCUCUACAUGGUUGUAAAGUGAUGCUUAACACAAAAUCUUUUGGAAGUAAGAAAGGGGAGCUAUAAUGAAUUUAUCUUACAGUUGUCUAUAGCACAUAGUACGUAAGCACUAGUGAACUAGACUUGCAUGAAAUAUGUAUUAUCCUUUUAUGAAAAAAGAACACUUUAAAUUGCUGGCCGCUAUAAACCUAUAGAAACAUGAAGCAAAAAGGGUUAGGAAAUGUCAACCCAAAAUGAGAAGCAGGAAUUGGAACCAGUAACCUAUUCAACCAUAUGUUGCUUUAACAAAAUUAAAAACAAAGUUAAAAAACUAUUAACGCUUAACUUCAGUAGCUCAGUAAAGAAUCACUCUAUAGAAAACAGGUAACAUUACAUGUAACUUCCCUUGAACAAGAUGGUAAGAAGCUGGGGAGAGACUCCUUGCAAAUAGGUGAUGGUUUAAAGAUUUCUGUAAAAAAAGUUCUCUAUUUUCGUUAUAUUCAUUUGGCAUUCCAUUCUUCUCUAAUUUCAGUAAACGCUGUAUAGUAUUAGUAAGUAGUCAUGUUUUUUCUUGAAGCUUGGCAGUAGACAUACAUCUUUUGAAUAAUGUUUGACAAUUUAUUCAUCCCUUCUUACAAAGACAGUUCCAGGAGCAGUUUUUACAGUCUUCACGUUAUAUUAUUGCAUCAUUAUAACUCUACAAUGAAAUAAAUACAACUUAACUUUCAGAUCUGUACUGAAAACAAGUGUCUUUCCAGAUGUGGGAUAGGAAGAAUGCGUCCAUAUCCUGACCCCCGAGGCCAAAAAGGAGGCAGAGGGGGGCCACCUUUUCUACCACCCUCACCCAUGAGAGGAAUGAUGAGAGAUCCUUUCUCACUUCCACCACCAAGACAUGGACUUCCUCCUCCACCAUCACUACCAGGACCAAUGGGCUUCAGAGGCAGGCCACCUCACCCCAGAGCCAGAGGGAUGCUGCGGAUGCCAAGAGGUCGUUUCCCUCCGCCAAGAGGGGUAACAAAGUCACCCUUUGAGGCCAAUUGGAGAUGGUAUACAGACCUUUCGGAGAGCAUACGACAAGCCUUAUCUGAGGUGAGAACAUUUUAAAAACUUCUUUUUAUCACCCAUAAUUUCUCUGUCCUUUACAGUAUAAAAAAUUAUUUAUGCAAAUUUUUCUGACAAAUGCACAUGUGUUUAGUAACUAGUUUAGUCAAGAGAAAAAGUGGUGAGAACUUUAGUAUUAAAGCUUCUGUUCUUUAUCCUGUGUUACAGCAUAUGUCAAAUAAUAGUUCUGGAGUCAGUUACUAUAAUGUCCUUCGUUUGUUCUAGUAGUAAUUUCUAAAUUUAGAAACUGCUUCACUUGUUUUUGCUAUUGAGACCUAUAUUUUGAACUCUUGGAAUUUUUGCUAUGGGGAGACUGAACAGCAGAGCUGAAAUUCAAGCUGGAAGUUCUGUUGAGUUCAAGGAGCAAAAGACUGAUGGACCAUCACCGUUUGAAGGAGCAUCUAGUCAAAAUUAUAAGUAUCCUAAAGAACUCUCCGCACUGGUUGCGAUAAACUCAUUCAGUAAUGAGGUCACCCUUUUGUAGGGCAGGGAUUAUGAACUACUUCUGUAUAGAAAGUUACCAACACCUGGGUACUAUAGUUUACAGUAUGAUUUGAAGACUUUCCAUCAGUCCAAAAGGUGUUCAGAAAUGCUGGUACAAAUAUUUGCCAAGUUACCAUUGUCACAUUGCAAGGCAUCUGUGUGGGAGAUAAAUAGCAAACAUCUAAUCUGAGUUUUGGCAUGUUUUACAUUAGGGAAUAGCGUAGUGAGCAUUUUUUGGGGAAACAGCUGACUGAAAUGCACAGUCUUUUGCCUAAUCAUUCCAUCUGCCGCAUAUGGUAUUUCUUACAUAAAUACCAAGUUAGAUGAAAAGUUGCCUAUCAAUUGGAAAAAAAUACCAAAGUGGGAAGAAGUAUCAUCCAAUUUCCUACUAAUGAGUUUACUUUCAUAAAUGAACUGACUGAAACAGCUGUUAGGUUUUACUUUUUUUGUUAACUCUAGUCCCAUUUCCUGUUUUAAGGUUGCUAAAAAUCACGGAAAGGAUGUUUAGUUUUAAAAUUGUAAUGAAUUAGUGAUAAUAUUAAUAUUUAGGUUGUAAUGUUAAUAUUAAUAUUUAGGUUGCAAUGUCUUAUUUGUCCGAGAUCAUCCACUAAUUCUGAUGAAUGCCAUCUGGAAAGUUAAAGCUUUACUGAAGAUUUUUAUAAAUUAUAGGAUGGCAAGAUUGGACCUUCCAUCUGGUUAAAUGAAAUGGAUAGGUCAGCACCCUGUGACAUAGAUUUUACAUUAAUGUGCCAAGUUUAUCUCUAACUCCAGUGAAGUCAAUUCAGGAUUAAAUUAGACUAAUGAAUUAAACCUAAGCUGUAUGGAAAUUAAAUUUUAAAGAUACUUGUCUUCUCUUUAGGAGUAACUAAUGUUCUUCAAAUAGUGUCCCUGUGGGUGUUCCACUUCAGGUGCACAUGUGCAUCUCCAGCCCUUGAUCAGAGAUUUUCCAUUACCAGUGUCCACUUGGCUCGCACGUACAUCCUAUGGACCCUUGUGUCACGCACUGAGGACACCUAGGGCUGCAUCUGUGACCCACUCAGUUCCUUCUCAGCUACCUCAGCCUGAGAUGGAGCUGUAAUGUUUCUGGCUGGUUUUGUCUCAGCUAUUCUCUUGUACAGCUUAGCAUUCGUAGAGCUGAGUUAUGAGAGGAUUUGUUUUGUUUCUGUCCCUCUUUUUUCUGGGAAACUUAUUUUCCUAGUGGGGCAUGCCCAGCUCUUCCAGGCUUCAGAUGUUGCCUCUCUUGUUGGGAGGCUAUCCCAGUAAGCGACAGCCACUCCCAGAGUGUCUGCUGCCUGGGAGAGUCACGUAUUUCCUGGAAGUGCAACUUCUGCCUGGCCCUCAAAUCCAGAGCAAGGAGGAACCAGGAGAUGAAAUUGAGGCUGCUAUUGAUGGAGCAUUCCUUUCAGCUUGCUUCAGAAUCAGGCAGGAGACUGGCCAUGUACAUCUGUUUCUGGGGAGAUCCAGCACCCCUUCAGCCUUAGCAUAGGUACUCUCUAAGAAGGGGAAGACUAUGGAGGCCUCAGGGAAGGCUCCAAGGAAGAGGAGCUCAGACUCUUAUCAUAAGGAGCCAGCUCCCAAAAGGCCCUGAUCCCUGGCUAAGUCCAUGGUGUCAGAAGCCUCAACCUCUCCGCUUGGUACCAUCGCGGUGAAAAAUUCCGCCUUUGGUACCACUGGAAAGUGCCGGGCCUGUAAGGGAAAACAUGGCUCCAAAAGGACCCUGGUAUUGUCUACAAGAGAGAAAGAGGGCAAAAAUAAACACUUCUCCGACCACUACCACUGAGCAGAACUCUGCCUUGAGGACCUCCCCAGUUGAGACCCUCAGUGCCAUGCAAACUGAAGUGCUAGACACCUUCAGCACCUACUUUGGUAUGCUCCAUUUCAAUGGUACCAUCUGCUUCGACUACCAAGCACCUCUCAGUACUGUGAUGAUAAUCUGAAGAUUGGAGUCUUUCUCCAGUACAAUAGGAUUCUCUUUUUCUGCUGUUGCUUUCCUGUUGGAGGAUAUUGAACAGUAUGAAAGAGACUUCUGUAUAGGAACUCACUCUCUCUUUUUUUGAUGCUUAUAGGGAAGAUCCCUGUGCACAACAAGGGUGGUGGGACCAAUCUUGGAUGCCACUCCAUCUCCCGUAUGGCCCUUCAAUGGCCCUACUGGGAUCCCUGGGCUGCCUGUUGGCAGCAAUUUGCCAGACCACCAGCUCUGUCAUAUCAAGAGGUGAGAGUUCUACAGUCCUCUCCCCAACCAACCCACCUGAAUGAUGAGGCAUUUGAGGAGCAGGAAGUUAGGGCUGAUAAUGAGGCCACCCCCAAACCCUUUGUCUCCAGAUGAGGUGGUCAUGCCUCCACUGCUGUCCACAGUCAACAAUUUCCAGCAAUUCCAGGACAUUAUAAAGAGAGUCACGGACGCUUUCCGAAUACUGCUCGAAGAGGUCAAAGAUUCUCAACACAAAGUGCUGGACAUUUUGCAAUCGGCAACACCCACUGGAGUUGUCUUAUCCAUUAAUGAGGUGCUCCAGGACCCAGCAGACUCUUUAGCAAACACCUGCUACUGUUCCACCAAUUUGAAAAUGGAUAGAUAGGAAAUAUUAUCGUUCCAUUCUCCUCCCCUCUCACCCCCUCAGGUCUCAGAGUUUUAGUUCUCCCAUCCCCCACUUAAUUCUCUGGUGGUGGAUGUAGUAAAUGAGCAGAAUAAGCAAUACUACUCUAAGUAUAUCUUCCAUAACAAGGACAAAAAAAGAUUAGACUUCUUUGGAUGGAAGUCUUAUUCAUCUGUGACACUGCAGUUUUGGAUUGCAAAUUGUCAGGUGAUCUGCAAUUGCAAUAAAGAGCUGUGAUGACUUACGAAAUGGCUUUGUGCGCUCAAUGUAGAAGGCUAGGGCACGCUUGACGUCCAGGGAAUGGAGCAUUCGCUCUCUGUUACUGGCAUGUGGCUUAGGGAAGAACACAGGUAAAAAUAUGUGGUGGUUCACGUGAAACUGGGAUACUGCCUUUGGUAGAAAUGCAGGGUGAGGGCGUAGCUGCACCUUGUCUUUAUAAAAGACCUUAUGGGGGGGGCCCGGAAGUCAGCGCUGUGAGCUUGGAUACCCUUCUGGCUGAGGUUAUGGCCACCAGAAAAGCCACUUCCCAGGAAAGGUAGGACAGAGGGCAGGUUGCCGUGGGCUCGAAAGGAUGGGGUCUCAUGAGCAUGGACAGGACCAGGUUGAGGUUCCACUGGGGAGUGGGCUGUCACACCUGGGGAUAAAGCCUGUCCAAGCCCUUGAGAAACCAAGCCCACCAUGGGAUUUCCAAACAUUGACCUUCCUGCUGCCCCUGGGUUGAAUGCUGAAAUGGCAGCCAGGUGUACUUUGAUAGAUGAUAUUUCCAACCCCUGCUGCUUUAGGUACAGUAGGUAGUCCAAAACAAGGGGAAUUGAUGCUUGCUGUGGAAGGCUGCCCAUCUGCAGGGACCAGAUGGAAAACCGCUUCCACUUUGUCAGGUAUGUGGCACGAGUGGAGGGUUUCCUACUUCCCAGCAGGACAUCCUUCACUGGGUCUGAACAAUGAAGCUUAAGAGGUUUCAGCCAUGCAGUUUCCACGCCGUGAGGUGGAGGGACUCCAGGCUGGGGUGUUGUAGACGGCCGUGGUCCUGUGUGAUGAGGGCCAGGCACAUGGGAAGGGUUACUGCUCUGUCCACUGAGAGGUUCAACAGUGUGAUGAACCAGUGUGGCGGGGCCACGCUGGCGCUAUGAGGAUCAAGGAAUCCCUGUCCCAGCAAGCCUUGAGGAGGACUUUGUGUAUGAGAGGGAAGGAUGGGAAUGCGUACAGCAGGUGACUCAUCCAUGAAAGCUGUCAGUGAUGGAGCCUGGGCUGUAGUUCAGAAAGAAGAACCGCUGGCACUUCCUGUUGCUCCAUGUCGCAAACACGUCUAUGUGAGGAAAGCCCCACCUCUGGAAAGUCGAGAGCACGAUGUCCACCCUGAGGGACCAUUCUUGACUGUGAAACAAGCAGCUAAGGCGGUCAGCUAGCUCGUUUUGCACUCCCGAAGUGGGUGAUGCAGAAGUCCCACAGUCCAACGGCUUCCUGGCACAGGGGAGAGGAGCAAGCACCACCAUGUUUGUUUAUAUAGAACAUUGCUGUGAUGUUGUCCUUCCGCACCGACACACAUGCAUCCUGAAGGUGAGCCUUGAACUCUUGGCAUGCCAGACGAACCGCCCUCAGCUCCCUUACAUUGAUAUGCAGCAAUAGUUCUGGGUGGGACCAUAGGCCUUGGAUUCUGAUAUUGUCCGGAUGUGUUCCCCGAGCGCUGAGGUGUCCGUGACCAGCGAUAGCGUAGGUUGGGGUUUGACUGCAGCCACCAGUGGAGAGACUCGAGAAUGCGAGGUUGGAGGGUAACUAAUCUGCUGGGCCUGUGCACCUGUGCCAACCACACCUGGAGAGGCCAAAGGCGCAAUCUGGCAUACUAGACCACAUAUGUACAAGCCACCGUCUGCCCCAGCAGUUUCAUGCAAUUUCUGGUAAUCGCCGUGGGUAAUCGGCGAAGGUUCUCGAUGUCCCUGAGUGCUUGGAAGCACAGCUCAGGCAGGAACGCCCUGGCUUGCAUGGAGUCCAAGAGAGCUCCUAUGAAUUCUGUUCUCUGUGUUGGGGCUAGUGUGGAUUUAGGUACUUUCAAUAUGAGGCCUACCAUCCUGAGGAAGGUGGCCUGAGCCAGACACACCUGCUCUGCAGCCUGUGCUUGCAACUUGGCCUUGAUGAGCCAGUCAUCCAGGUACGGGAAAACUUGUACCUGACGUUUGCGGAGAAAGGCUGCCAUGACUGCCAUACACUUCAUGAAUAUCUGGAGAGCCGCCGAGAGCCCAAAUGAGAGCACCCUGAACUGGUAGUGCUGGCCGCUGACCACGAAGCGAAGAAACUGUGAGCCAGGGUAAUGGAGAUAUGAAAGUACACAUCUUUCAAGUUGAGGGCAGUGUACCAGUCCUCCAGAUCCAGGAAAGGAAUGAUGGAGGCCAGGGAGAGCAUGCAAAACUUCACUUUCUUUAUGAAUGUGUUGCAGUCUCCCAGAUCCAGGAUAGGCAAGAGCCCACCCUUGGCCUUGGGGAUGAGGAAAUAGCGGGAGUAGAACCCCUGAACUCCUGAGGAACCUCCUCUGUUGCCCCUAGAGCAAGGAGCGAUUGCACCUCCUGCAGAAGUUGUUGUUCGUGAGGGGGGAAGAGGGGUGGAAGGGAACAGAAUUGGAUAGAAUAUGCCAUGUCCACCGUGCUCAGAACCCAGUGAUCUGAUGUGAUCUGGGACCAAGCACGGUAGAAGUGGGACAGUCGAUUCACAAAGAGGGGUAAAGAUCUGAGCUCGGUACUGGUGCUCUGUCCUCGGGUGCAUCUUCAAAAGUUUGGCUUCAGGCCCGAGGGCUGUUUCAAAGAACCCUGGCCUUGUCCUGAGGAGGACUGGCGGGCGCCUCCUAUUAUUCCUGCCCCUCUCCUGGAUAAGUCUAGUCUUGGGGGCCCAGACUAGAAGUGGGACAGGGGCUGAGGCUUAAAUGGCUUUCUUUGGGGUACAGGGGUGUGGAUCCCCAAAGACUUUAGCGUCACCCACGCGUCCUUCAGACUGUGCAAGCGAGAGUCUGUAUUUUGGGCAAACAACCCCUUAUGGUCAAAGGGCAGGUCCUGAAUUGUGUUCUGAACCUCCGGUGGUAUAUCCAACACCUGCAGCCACGCGCUGCGUCUCAUUGUGAUGGCGGUGGCCAUAGUCCGAGCCACUGAGUCUGCCGCAUGUAACACAGCCUGGAGGGAGGUUCUUGAGACCACCCUGCCCUCCUCUAGAAGCUCAUUAAACUCCUUGCACAAGUCAGCCGGCAGCAACUCCUGAAACUUUGCUAAUGCACUCCAGGAAUCGAAAGCAUAGCGACUGAAUACCUCUUGCUAGUUGGCCACUUGAAGCUGGAGUUGGCCGAAAAGGUCCAACUUCUUAGCGUCCAGUGACUUUGGAGAGGGACCUGGCUGCCCCAGCAGCUCCUUGUGAUUUGCCGCAUCAACCACUAGAGUCCUCAGUGGGGAGUGGGUGAAAAGGUGUUCAUACUCUUUCUGCAGCACAAAAUAACAUCUCUCUACCCCUUUAGUGGUGGGUGAUAUAGAGGCCGGGAUCUGCCAGAGCACCUUAGUAGUGUUCUGGAUCAUUUUUAUCUGGGGCAAGGCCACCUUAGAUGGACCCUCCGGGGCAAGGAUGUCCACCAUUGGGUCUGACUCCUCUGUGACCACCUCCACCUGGAGGCUUAGGUUUAGGGCCACCCUCCUAAGAAGGUCUUGGUGUCCCUUAGUGGCCACCGCCGAUAGGAUGAUAGUGGUGGUGCCUGCCACCGUCUUGUCCAGGGAGGAGGAGGCCCAUGGGACCAGGUCUUCCCGACAUUCUGGUUCCCUAGAGACUGGGUCGGGUGUGGCGGUCCCAAGUCAGGGAGACCACCGGCUCGGCAGACCUCUGGUCGGGGCCAGAGUCAACAGUGCUGGGUCUUGAGGCCCUGCGAUGGGAUGCACCCCGCUGGAAUCCCCUCACAGCUUCUUAACGGGGGAACAAUCCGUGUCCGCCUUGUUUUUCUUAUGUGGCACUGGGUCUGUGAGUGGUGCCGCCAGCUACAGCUGGCCUUAUGAGCCGGGGAGUGGUGCUGAUGCUCCUUGGAGGAGUCCUUCCUCAGUGCUGGUGCAUCCCACACCGAUGAUGCCAGUGCUGUUUCCGGUGCUGGCAGAGGGCCGACUCCAUCAGGAGGAGCUUUAAAUGAUAGUCCUGCUCUCUUUUAGUCCUGGGUCUAAAGCUCCUGCAAACUGAGCACUUGUCUGAUGACCUUCUCCUAGGCACUUAAGACAAGCAGCAUGCAGAUUGCCUCUGGGCAUAGGUUUCACAUACUUCUCACACGCCUGUGACCAAGGCAUGCCCUGGUGCCUGGGGAAAACUACGGGGGGAGCUGCCCAAAGUAAGCUUAACUAACUAUAAACUACUAUACAAUUACUGUGACUACAACUCAGCUAAACUAUUUACAAGUAAGAAAAGGGAACUACUAGGUAGCCACUUGCAAAUGCAACAGACUGAGCUGCUCCAUUGACCGUUACUGGCUGUAAGAAGGAACUGAGCAGGCAGCAGGUCAGCUGCAACCUAUAUACACCGCCAUGAAGGUGCCAUUCCACAGCUGACCCGAUGGCCACCACUAGGGGAAAAACCUUCCGACGAUUGUGCAUGUGGUGUGCGCACACAUCUAUUGGAAUCCACAUGAGCAGUCACUCAAAGAACCUCUUCUUUCUGAAUCAUGAGGAAUUUUUCUGUUGAUUGAACAUUUCUGCCGUACUAAAUUGACUUUUGUUUUUUUAGGUUUGAUUUCUUGUUUCUUUUUUAGGAGAGUGUUCUUGCCCUUCUCUGCACAAACUUAUUUUCCUUAAGUUACAAAACUUGUUUUAAAGAUAUAAAAAGGUUCGAUGUUUAAACGUUAAAAGUGUAGCGCUGGCCAGAAACAGGAAUUCCCAUUCUGCAGGACGUUUUUUUUUUGUUUUUUUUUAAAGGUCCAAAACGGAACACACAAUUGAAAUUUCUAAAUUUCUGGCAGAAUGGGAAUUAUGAAACUGUUUAUAUAAAAAAAAAAGUCAAAAUAACAUUUUGUUUUGACCUUUUCAGGUAUAGGGAAUGGGUAUCUCUGGGCUGCUGAGGACUUCAGGAUCCUGGAAGCCCUUGCUCCAAGACAGUUUGCCUGGCAGGCCCAGCUCCAUGGCAACUCAACUGAUGGGCUGCCUCUAAGCCAGAGAGCCUUGAAGCUCUUGGAGCCCCAGCUUUGGGGGGGAUCCACCUUACGGUUUGCAGGGGCGUGGGGGAGCUGUGGAGCUGGGAAUGAUUUUCCAAAAGAACAUUUCAAUUCUGUGGAAAAUGAAUUUUUCACCAGAAAAUUCCUAACUAGCUUUAGUUGAAAGCGAGAUAAGAUUGCUGUCAAAUUGUUUGAGAGUCCAAUGGUCUACUUCUAGUUCUGUACUCCUGCUAGAAUGAAAUUGCACCCGAUCUGUUUAGAAAUGGAAAUAAAGAGAUUUUGCUCGUGAGAUUUCCUUUAGUUGCCUCUGAUAUGGUAGGGGCACUUCUUUUCUCUUUAUAUUACACACACACAAAAAUUACAGUAAAAACAUGAAGGGUACAAAAUCAAACACUCAAAAGUUAGGAAAUGCCAGAAUUAAGAUAGCCAAAUUAAGGUUGCACAAACAAUCUUGUGCAUAUACAUUUUGAUAGAAGCUAGGGUCUGUCUGUUUCUCCCCAAGCUUGAUCUAGUCUGUACCUCCAACCAUUCUCCACUCCUCAAGCUUUUAAUCUCAGUCUGUCUCCUUACAGUCCAGUCUCUCUCUCCUGCUUGCUUCCAAUCCUGGUCCCUCACCCUCCCAAAUGGCUUCUCGUCUAAUCUAGCUCUCCCUUCUCCAGCUGGAACUGAAAACAGGGUCUUACAAUGGAAAGUGGCUGGCUACCUUAACUGUAGGCUACCAGCUUUGCCUCUAGCACAUUCAUUCACCUUAUUGAAAAGACUAUAUAUUCUAUUAUACUAAUUUCUACAUCUAUUUCCAUUCAGGUUCCCUUCCCAACAAGAAGGGCUAGAACUAUUUUUAAAUGAAAGUUUAGAUUCUGUAAAACAAUUGUAUCUCCCCAGAAAAAGUGGGAGGACUGGCCCAAAGUUUGAGAACCACUGCCUAGAGCAGGGAUCAGCAACCUUUGGCACACGGCCCAUCAGGGAAAUCCACUGACAGGCUGGGACGGUUUGUUUACCUGCAGCAUCCGUAGGUUCAGCCAAUCACAGCUCCCACUGGCUGCAGUUUGCUGUUCCAGGCCAAUGGGGGCUGUGGGAAGCAGCAUGGGCAGAGGGAUGUGCUGGCUGAUCCCUGGCCUAGAGAAUCUAAUUGCAGUAGAUUUACUCCACCUCUUCCAAAAGUCCUUUGUACUUACGUUAGGUAGAUAAAAUAUCAGUAAUUUCUUCUUUUUCAUGUAUUUAUUUUUGUGUCCUGAAGACUUAGUGUUUGCUUGGUUUUAGUUAAGAGAUUAAAAGAUCCCACUUUUAUUCUAGAUGUAUUCCUGACUGCUGAACAGAUGACAGAAGAACCAUAUUAUUUUUCAAACAGAUUUGUUGAUAAUGAGUUCGAUGUGAAUAUCCUGCGUAGCUAGCAAAAUCAGGCCAUUCAGUAAAAGAAGCUCUGUGGCUGGCACAGUAAGCUUUAUUGACACACAGAUUUAAAUUUGUUUGAUUUCCCUCCAGCUUUGCAACACACCAUCUUGGCUCUUUUUAUUUUUCUACUAAGAGCUGCUACAGCAGAACUUCCACCAACUAGAGAGACCUAUCUCCCUCCCCUCAGAGCCGGUUGCCUGUAUUUAGCAGAGUGGUAGGGGUUGAAAUAACUGUGUGCACCUUCAAAUUGGAAUCCGUGUUUCCCAUCAGUCAGCUAGGAAUGGAAGGAACAUAGAGCUACAGUUAUUGAGGGCUACAGUUAUUGGGCUCUUCCUGUCUGACAGCUCUUUUUAAGAGGUCACAUAUAGAGAAGAAAAAAGACUAUGCCCUGAAAGUUACAUUACUUUCCUCUCCCACACAAUGGCCAAUGAGAUCAGAGCUUUCCCCACCAUACAAUUGAGUAAGGUUCUCCUUUUCCCCAGCACACAGUGGGUUGUGACUGAAAGGAGCCCACUCAUAAAGGAGAGUGUGUACACUGCACUCUAGUGACUGUAGGGGUCUAAAAGUCAUCCUCCUUCCCACUUAAAUUAUUUUGUUUUUAAAGCACAGCUCUGAUGAUAGUCACCCCCGUCCCUUUGCCACCACACACUCCACAGCAGUUCUUGUGGCUCCUUUUGUUGCUGCACCCCAACAAUCCAGGUCUCAGCUCCAUUCCUGCUGAAGUGCAGAGUAAGUUAUUUACCAGCUCUCUCUGGCUGUGGAAGAGAAGGGAAUUAAACCAAGCCUGCAUCGUAGGCUACUGUGCUAAUCAUUCACCCACUUCUUCAGGAAGCCCUCUCAAUCUUCACAGAAGAAAAGGGAGGAAAAGGAUAAGCUUCCACUUAGAACUGACUAGGCUGUAGUGUAAGAGCCUCAUUUUCACAGCCCCCAUAGAAAAAAACCUUUUACACCUGUGAUUAAUAUACUUGUGUUGAGACCAAGUUAAUACCAUUAUAACAUGUGUCAUCAUUUGACACUAUUAAAGAUAAUUUUACAAGUCCUUUUUCUUAGGCUUGGUCUACACUACAGACUUAUGUCAGUAUAAUUGUGGUGCUCAGAGGCAUGGAAAAUCCAUGUCCGAGUGAUGCAGUUAUACCAACCGAACUCCCGCUGUAGACAGCACUAUGUUGAUGGGAGAGCAUCUCCUGUCAACAUAGCUACCACCUCAGACAUGGAGUAAGUACCGUGUCUGGAGAAGCUCAUCACCAGGGGCAACGUCUCUCCGAAGCACUGCUGCAGUGUAGACAAGCCCUUACUGUACAAGCAGUGUAAUUCUGGGAGAAAUACUGUAUUCAGUUUUGUGAUACAGGUAUUUUGGGGGACCUGGCAAGUAGCUAGAGAGUUUGCUCUUUGCCAUAGUCUCUCUAGGGUCCUUUCUUGAUGCACAGUUGCUGCUUGAUAACAGUGCUGGUGUCUGAUCUGAGAUUUCCUGUGUCGUGUUUGACAACACUGUUCAAAGGGUAUACAGCAUAAAAGUUUCACUAGAAAAUAUCCAGUCUGUUACUGAUUUUGCCUCCCAGCAGAAACUGACCUGGCCUGUAAGUGCCCCAGCUGCUCAGCUGACUGGUGAAUACUAAAACAAGUCCUGAAAGUUCUCCUCAAUGUGCUUUUACUAUCAAAUUGCCAAGUAUAACAAGAGAAGAGAAAUGUAACCUUUUUCAGGAGACUCCCCAGCAAAAAAUAUUUUAAAUAAAAUUUAAUAUGUCACCUAAGAACUCUGAGAUAUGUGCUUCAAAUAGCAACCUCAGUGACAGUAAAUUCACAAGUCCUGUGGUGUUUAUGCACAAAUAAACCAUUACUGUACAUCAUGAUCUGUUCAUGUAAAUUUAUCAAGUUUUGGCCACAUAGGACUUUGAAAAAAGAAAAACAGAGACAAAACAUUUUCACAGCAGUCCAGUCUUUCUGCUAAUUGCCUGGAGCUGGGAUCCACACACUGAUAAUUAGCGUAGCAAAUGACCCGUCUCAACAUAAUUUCUAAGUAUUGUUUGUAAAAUUAAGACAGGGUUUGAGGUUGGAUAGAGGGUAACUCCUGUGAGAAGAUGCUGUGUUUAAAAUGUUAACAGGCACAGGAUGAGCUUCCAUUGCUAACAGAUGUGGAAGAGCUUUAGUACAUGAAGAAUUCAUGACGUGCUUGCAGUUUCUUCUACUGAAGGUAACUUGUCCCAAACUGGCUUCUGAAUAUGUUCUGGUAGUUUCUCUAAUUUGGUCUAAAAACAAAGCAAACAAUUACACCUACCAAUCUGCACCUUAGAUGUGACAAUUCCCUCAUUUAGAAUACAUUAUUUUGCUGAAUACAUAUUUACCCAAAUCAAAUUACAAAUACCUAUUCAGGUACAUGAAAGGCCACCAAGUGGCAGAAGCCAUUUUAAGAAUAGUUCAGCUUCCAUCCCUUCUUCAUCUUGUGCUUUCCACUGUUUGGAUCCCUUGCUCCCUAGAGAACUCCCAUUCUCCCCAGCCCAGAGUCUCUGCACAUUCCUCCCCUGCACAUUCCAGAAAUUACACUUGCUAUUAGUCCCAGCAGAUAUCAUUUGUCAUCUGAUUAAUCUUAAAACUAGACUCAUCCCACAGCUCCUAUUAGAAAUUCAAGAAAGCAAUUCAAUUAUACCUUUUUUAUUUCCAUGGCAACCCCUUCAGGUAAAUUUCUUUGGAUGUAUUCCAAAUAGACAUCAGCUGUACUGCCAGUUAAAUGUUUUAACUAAAACAACACAGAAAGUGUUUUAAAAAUAAAAGUAGCCAUAUUUUCUGCUAUUAGCAUAUCACUGUAUAAUGAUAUAGGCAUACACUGAUGGGAAAAUUUCCUCAGAGUUAGAGAAGCUAGAGCACAGAGGUUCAACAUUCCCUUCACAACAGGCAAAGAAUUAGCAUCAUCUUUGCACUCUCACACUCAUACAGUUAGCAGAAGGUACUCCCAGACUAGGGGUUUGCCUAACCUGUAUUCUGCAACUGUAGAAACACAUACACCUUUGUUUACGUAGAGAGCCUCCUGGGAUUAACCUGUAGUUUGAUUAGUGCAGCCUAUAUUUAGAAAGGCCGCUCCUGGGUAUUAUAUAACAUCCUAGCAUCCUAAACUAGGUCAGGGCCCUACUAUGCUAGGCACAGUACCAAUAUUGACAAUCUCCUCCCCUCAACAGACACACAACAUGGGUGGUGGCCAGUUAUUUUUGUUUUUAAGAGGAAGGUAGUUAUUUUUAAAGGCAACUGUGAGGUGGUUAAUCUGCCAUUUUGUUCUAAUUUUUUAAUUAAUAUAAAAGAUACAAUAUGGAAAAUGGUGCGCUCAGAACCAUACUUUUCAGUAGUAUUAUUUUAAUAUAAGCUGCAUGAAGUGCAUCCAGUAUAACAAGUAUUCUCUUUAGUAUCCACUGAGACAGGAUUAGGAAAUUCUGCAUGCUGGGGUUAAAUGUAAAAUCAGUACACGCAUUUUUCAGGAAUUUUAGUGAGUGUCAAACAUUAAAUGCUUGACAAAACUGCAUUUUCUAUAUGUGAAGUUCUAUUUGAGUUCUCUCCUUCCCGCAAAUACACUUACUCACCUCCAAGCAUCUAUAAUGUGUCCUCAUUUCAUACUGAACUCUGUGCUUCUUGAAAAUGUGUAUUGACUUCAGAAGGGUGAAUCGUUCUAUCUUCCUGGGAGGUUCAUGUCUAACGUGCACAAUCAUUUAAACACAUUAUUUCAUAUUUUAAAUCACAUUCAUACCCCUUUUAGAUCAACUAAUGUUUUCAGUAUCCACAUAACAACCCACCAGGACUUAAUGCCAGGAUCCCUGCUUUAGUUGACAUUUGCACAAGUGAAUGAGGCAGUGUGAAAAGUACCAGUGUAUUUCGGUAUUGCAGCCACAUUUUGUCUUAAUAGCUAUUAAAAGACCCCGGGGGGGGGGGGGGAGGAGGACAGGACCAAUAAAUUCAGCUAGGUUCUAAUGAUACCUAGGGGGAUGCUUGUACUGUCAAUGAUGCUGUCCUUACAGGAAGUUUGAAAUGGUAUUUUAAAAAAAUACCUACAACCCUGGGCAAGAUUCCCUUUUCUAUCAAUGUUUUGCUGUUUAACAUAGUGCUGAGUGUGUAACAGCUGUUGCUAUUGGCUGUAUGGUCCUUGAACUAUUAUUGUAUCCUACUGCUGACAAGGAAAAUAAUUAAAACAGCUUGUCAGGGAAAUAUCCCAAUGGCUUCAAAUUAGUUUAAAAAUGCCAUCACUGGACAUCUUCCACUUCUGAAACACUCAGAGAAAGUAAAUUCCAUACCUCAAAAAUCUACAACUAUGGAUGCCAUAAGGGGUAGUGUUUUACAAGUAGCAGCUGAGACCAAGUCACCUAUACUUACACUUUUUCAAUGGAGAUGCCAAGUUCUUUAGCAGCAAGCACUGCAAAAUAUUCGUAACUGUCCAACACAGUUUUAUCAUGGCCUUUAACUAAAACCGAUAAUUUCCUGUAUAAUGUGUCCGGUUCAUCUGAAAUGGAUACCUACAUUUUGUAAGAAAAAGACAAGUUAGGUGAUAGCUCUACACUACCCUUAGCUAACUAAUACAAUACACAUUUAUCUUGUACACCCUACUAUCCCAUAUGGGGGAAAAUACUGUAGGCAGUUCAACCUAAUUGUACUUUAUGCAUAGUUUUGUCAACCUGUGGCUAAUUAGCCGCUAUUAUCAAUUCUGAAAAGGACGGCAGAGCUGUGCAUGACUUAGGGUAUAACUACACUUAAAACACUACAGCAAAGCCCAUUGGCCUAGAUUCUCCUAUAGGUAGAGGUAAUCCACCUCCCCAAGAGGCAGUACUUAGGUCUGUGGAAGACCAGUGGAAGCUGUCUACCCUGGGGGUUAGGUUGACUUAAUUAUGCUGAGUACACGUAACUACACCCCUGAGUGACACAGUUAAACCAACUUAAUUUUCUAGCGUAGACCAGGCCUCUACAUUUUGAGCAUUCAGAAGCUAUUAUGGUAAAAGUUCUUGAUCAGGAGGGUGAGGGCUCUUCAAGAUGACUCGGGGAAAAAAAAGUAGUAAGGCUUGCAAUAGUUGAAGUUAAGAGUAGAGCUCAGAAACUUCUGAAGAGUUGCAGAUUUUUCCUUAAAACCAAUCUAAUACUACUUUUUUUUGGUACUGGAGAAGAGUCGCCUUCUCAGACCCUGCACUGUCAGCAAUUCUCUCUGUAGCUGAUGAGAAAUACACGGGACUCCCUCCACCAGGAUAAGAAGAAACAUAAGAAAAUAUUUAAGUAAAAUGGGAAUUAAAAUUUCUCCUUUUAAAGUGUGUACCAUACGUAUUUUAAAAUGAAAGGAUUUUCCACAAGAAUACUACAUUUCUAUUCUAAAUGCAGAUUGUAACCCUAGGACGUCAUUGAAAAGGAGACCUCAAUGAGUAAUAAUCCAACUCAUAUUAUAAAUAUUCUUCUCCUAAUGGGAUUUUGCAUGAUUAAAAAAUACUCACCUAUGCUGAAAUAA